rnacentral:tRNA from 1 species
GGUGCUGUGGCUUUGUGAUGGAGCAUCUGCUUUACAUGCAGAAGGUCCUGGGUUUAAUCUCUGGCACCUCCA